AAUAUUGGACAAUGGGGGCAACCCUGAUCCAGCCAUCCCGCGUGUGCGAUGAAGGCCUUCGGGUUGUAAAGCACUUUUGGCAGGGAAGAAAAGGCUCUGGCUAAUACCUGGAGCUGCUGACGGUACCUGCAGAAUAAGCACCGGCUAACUACGUGCCAGCAGCCGCGGUAAUACGUAGGGUGCAAGCGUUAAUCGGAAUUACUGGGCUUAAAGCCUGCACAGGCCGUUCGGCAAGAAAGAUGGGAAAUCCCAGGGCUUUACCCUGGAACUGCAUUCUUAACUGCCGGGCUAGAGUAUGUCAGAGGGGGGUAGAAUUCCGCGUGUAGCAGUGAAAUGCGUAGAGAUGCGGAGGAAUACCGAUGGCGAAGGCAGCCCCCUGGGAUAAUACUGACGCUCAUGCACGAAAGCGUGGGGAGCAAACA
rnacentral:rRNA from 1 species